CCAUUACAAUAUCAACUAGAGUCAAACAAUCACUUUCACACGCCCAGCUAACUCUUUGACUUUUCUCUCUCCCCACGUGCCGUGUAUCAAGUUCCCUCAAGUAUGAGAGCCCGUACAAGAGAGAAAGUGCUUCGGCUUGUAGAGAAGAGGAAGCCCUAACUUCAGAUGCGAAACCCUCGACCACCUUCCCUAAUGGAUCUCGAACUAUUCCAGCGAUUGAGAAGAGGAAUUCGCCUGGAAACCAUGAAGCAUCAACGUUGAUCUUCAGCUCGUCUUUGUUCGGCAGCUUCCACCGAACAGGUACGCUUGGGGGGGGGGGGGAUGGUCUUUUUCGAUUCUGCCAUCUGCUGAAGUUUCUUUGCUGUUCUUGUGCAAGAUCCACGAGAUCGACUGGUUGCGGAGGCUUUGCUCUAAAAUUAAGGUUGUUUCGGGACUUCCAUAUGUUCCACAGCACUACCGCAGUGAGUUCUUGUUCGGGUAAGCCUUCCUUUUCUUCGAAUGCCUCCAUUAGCCACUGAUCGAAUCUCUUGAUGUUUCUUGGGUUGCUGAUGAUGUUGAUGCGUGGAUCUACCCAUAUUGUUUUUGUCCACUUGCACAACAUAAAUAGAUGUUCUGUGGUUUCCAAAUUUGUGAAGCAAAACGGGCAUAAGGGGUCGGGUAAUAGUUUUCUUUUAUAGAGAUUCUCCUAUGUGGGUAUGGCAUUUUGACAGAGGCUCCAUAGAAACGUACGCAUUUUCGGAGGUAUUGCAAGACUCCAUAUUUGAGUCCACAGGGUUCGUGGGGGCUUAAAAGAACAUGAUGCCUUAUUUAGGUCGGUUCUUUUGGUUUUAGGGUAGGCUCGGUUGUAUCUGCUCUUCACGGUGUAUUUCCCUGACUGAUUCCUUGUCCAUACGAGGCUUUCCUUCUUUGUAUCUGAACUUAGAGGUAUCGCAAGAAUCUCAUUAGCGAUUUUUUCUUCAAAAAGGUUAAGAAUUUGAUGUUCCUCCCAAACUCUCAAUUAUGCAUCAAUAAGUUCUGACACCAGAAUAGGUUCCUGUUGAUUAGCUGGUCCUCUUAUCACACCAUACUUUAGCCAUUUGUCUUGCCGUAUUUUAAUGGAUUUGCCAUCCCCCACUGACCACUUAACAUCUGCUUCUAUAGCUUCUCUUCCUGUUAACAUACUUUGACAUCCCCAAGACAGUCGCUGCCCCUUACUUGCCUUCCAUAAAUCACCAUUUGGGAAGUAGAUUCCUUUUAGUAUUCUGCUCCACAAAGUUGAAGGAGAGUUGGAUAAUCGCCAGGCUUGCUUUCCGAGCAUUGUUCGAUUAAUCAGAUCUUUGAAUCCCAAACCUCCCUCAUCCUUUCUAGUUUUUAAAACUUCCCAUUUUUUCCAAUGCAAACCUCUUUUUGAAUCACCUUUUUGCCACCAAAAUGACGCAAUUCUUCUUUCUAUGGCUCUACAUAUGGAAAUAGGAAGUUUAAAAAUUGACAUUGCAUAAGUGGGGAUGGCUUGCACAACACUCUUAAUCAUAAUUUCUUUGCUUGCUUUAGUGAGUAGCUUUUCUUUCCAUCCCUCGAGCUUCGAGUUUACUCUUGCUAAGAUCCACGCAAACAUCUCUUUCUUUGAAUGACCCAAUUCUGUUGGAAUACUGAGAUAUUUCCCUACUUUUUCUAUGAUGGGAACUCUGAGCUCAUGAGCUAGGUUUCUUUUCAAAGAUAGAGGGUUGUUACUACUAAAGAAUACCCCUGAUUUGUUUAAAUUUAUAGCUUGCCCCGAUGCAUAUUAGUACUGAUUAAGGAUAUUGCUAGGUUUUGGCAUUCGACAAUAGUCCCAUCCAGAAAAAUUAUAGCAUCAUCAGCAAAAAGUAAAUGACACAGUGUAGGACAGAACCUGUUUAGUGUUAUCCCCUUGAUGCUUCCCUCUUCAAUAGCUUUGUUCAUUAGCCAUGUUAAAACGUUUGCUAUUAAGAUGAAUAAAUAAGGAGAAAAUGGGGUCUCCUUGUCUAAGUCCUCUCGAGGGGGUGAAAUAUUGAGUUGGUUCCCUGUUGAUCUUCACACUUAGGGACAUUGUUGAGACACAUUGCAUAAUUAGAGAUACCCACCUCUCACAAAAACCCAUUUUCAGCAUACAAUCAUUUAGAAAAUCCCAUUCGAUUCUGUCAUAGGCUUUUUGCAUGUCCAGUUUCAAGAUCGCUUGGAAUUUUUUCUUUCUUUUUGUAAUUCGCAGCUAAUGUAAUACUUCCUGAACAAUUAGUAUAUUAUCCUGAAUUUGCCUACCUUGGACAAAUGCACUUUGUUCAGGCUCUAUAAUUAAGCCAAAUCUUUAGCCUAUUAGCCAGGACUUUUGAGAUGAUUUUGUAGCUGAAAUUGCACAAGCUGAUAGGUCUGAAUUGGCUAAUGUUUUCUGGAGUUUUUACUUUUGGUAUCAAAGAUAUAUGCGUUUUGUUGAGAUAAAAAUCAAGGGUACCUGUUUCGAAAAAGUCCUGCACUAACUGGAACAAAUCUAGCUUUAUAUCCUCCCAUGAUUGUUGAUAAAAGAGGCCAUUAAAGCCAUCAGGUCCAGAGGCUUUUAAUGACCCCAUUUGAAAAACUGCUGCUUUAACCUCUUCCAUAGUAAUGCUGGCCAUCAGAUUUGCAUUAUUUUCCUCUCCCACUAGGCUAGGGCACUGAUUUAGAAUUGGUUGAUAGUUUCUGGGACCCUCUGCUUUAUAUAGGUUCCUGUAGAAGGACCCGGUGUGAUCUUGGAGAGCUAAGGGGUCUCUGCACCAACUUUGAUCUUCCAUUUACAACAUAGUGAUCUUGUUUCUCUAACUUCGUUGUACUGUAGUUGCAUGGAAGAACUUGGUGUUUUUAUCACCCCAUUGCAGCCAUUUAAUGCGUGAUCUCAUACCCCAGAAUUUUUCUUCUUGUUUCCACAAUUGUUCUAUCUGGUUGACAGUGUUGUGGAAUUCUUUCCUGCUGGCAUGUUGGGACUGUUUAUUGGUUAACUCUGUUAAUGCCUUGUUAAGCUCCCUAAUCUGACUUGGUGCAUUGGCACACUUCUCUUUACUCCACUCAGUAAGCACUUUGGAUGUUUCAUUGAUUUUCGCGGAGAAGCUUGUCUGGCUUAGGGGUGUUUUGUUCCAUAUUUGCUGGAUGAGCUCACCAUACUCUUCAUUUUUUGUCCAGAAUGCUUCAAGCUUAAAAUCUCUUUUUCUUUUCUUGCUUUCAGGAUGCAACACAAGGAGGAGAGGGCUAUGAUCCAAGCCAAUUGUUGGAAGGGCUUGUAA
rnacentral:lncRNA from 1 species